rnacentral:rRNA from 1 species
GCAUAACGCGAAGAACCUUACCAAGGCUUGACAUCCUCUGACAGGUGUGGAAACACAUUUUCCCUUCGGGGCGAGAGAGACAGGUGGUGCAUGGUUGUCGUCAGCUCGUGUCGUGAGAUGUUCGGUUAAGUCCGGCAACGAGCGCAACCCUUAUGGACAGUUGCCAAUAUUAAGUUAGGAACUCUGUUCAGACUGCCGUGGAUAAACACGGAGGAAGGUGGGAUGGACGUCAAAUCAUCAUGCCCCUUACGCCUUGGGCUACACACGUGCUACAAUGGGCACUACAAAGAGCAGCAAGCUGGUGACAGUGAGCGAAUCUCAAAAAGGUGACUCUCAGUUCAGAUUGCAGGCUGCAACUCGCCUGCAUGAAGUCGGAAUCGCUAGUAAUGGCGCAUCAGCAACGGCGCCGUGAAUACGUU